UUGCACCUAGUGGCGACGGGUGAGUAACACGUAUCUAACCUACCUUUUAGUGGGGGAUAACAGUUGGAAACGACUGCUAAUACCGCAUACGACACCAUUAUGGCAUCAGAAGGUGUUAAAAGGCCCGUUUGGGUCGCUAGAAGAUGGGGAUGCGGCGUAUUAGCUAGUAGGUGGGGUAAUUGCCCACCUAGGCAAUGAUACGUAGCCGAACUGAGAGGUUGAUCGGCCACAUUGGGACUGAGAUACGGCCCAGACUCCUACGGGAGGCAGCAGUAGGGAAUUUUUCACAAUGGACGAAAGUCUGAUGAAGCAAUGCCGCGUGAGUGAUGACGGUCUUCGGAUUGUAAAGCUCUGUUGUAAGGGAAGAAUAGGUAAAAGAGGAAAUGCUUUUAUUUUGACGGUACCUUACCAGAAAGCCACGGCUAACUAUGUGCCAGCAGCCGCGGUAAUACAUAGGUGGCCAAGCGUUAUCCGGAUUUAUUGGGCGUACAGGGUGCGUAGGCCGGUUCGAUAAGUUUUGAGGUUAAAUCCCCGGGGCUCAACCCCCGGUUCGCCUUUGAAAAACUGUCUUACUAGAAUACCAGGAGAGGGAAGAUGGGAAUUCCCCUGGGGUAGGCGGUGAAAUGGCGUAGAUAUUAUUGGAGGAACACCAGUGGGCGUAGGCGGUCUACUGGGCCUGGUAAUUGAAGCUCUAAGGAACGAAAACCUGGGG
rnacentral:rRNA from 1 species